CCGCACGAGCGCACCUUACCUAUGUUGCCAGCGGAUCAUGCCGGGGACUCCUGGGGGACUGCCGGUGAUAAACCGGAGGAAGGUGGGGACGACGUCAAGUCAUCAUGGCCCUUACGCCCAGGGCUACACACGUGCUACAAUGGCCGGCACAAAGGGCUGCCAACCUGCGAAGGUGAGCGAAUCCCAAAAAGCCGGUCUAAGUUCGGAUUGUAGUCUGCAACUCGACUGCAUGAAGUCGGAAUCGCUAGUAAUCGUGUAUCAGCAACGACACGGUGAAUACGUUCCCGGGCCUUGUACACACCGCCCGUCAAGCCAUGGAAGCCGGGAGUGCCCGAAGUCUGUGACCCAACCUAGUGAGGGAGCAGCCGAAGGUAAGUUCGGUGACUGGGGCUAAGUCGUAACAAGGUAGCCGUAGGGGAACCUGUGGCUGGAUCACCUCCUUU
rnacentral:rRNA from 1 species